UUAACUUUAAUAUUCAACUGUCACUAACUACGGCCACCACUGUACAGCCAACAAUAAUCAAUUUUCACCGGCACUCUGCUCAAACUCAAACACACAACACGAACAUCCCAACCGAACAAGCAACCACAAACAUGUGCCAAACGAACCACUAAGUUCGAAGUUCGAAGCGAACAGCAACGAACAUUUCUCAAAAUUCUUGCCAUUCAAACGCUAUACGCCAACGAGUUGUCGGAGUGUUCGGACGUGUGCAACUGUAGUAGCGCUUAAUUAACGCUAGUCCGCCGUUUAAACAGAGUAGAAAAAAAGAAAAAAAAUAAAGCUAAAAAAGAAAUACCGUGCGCUAGUCAUAGCCAGCAAAUGCGGAGCCGAGAGCGCUGCGAAUCGCGUUUAUAAUUAAACGCAAGUGGAAAAGGCAAAGAAAUAUAUUAGUGUUGUAAAAAUACAAAUGAAAUAAUCAAAAUAAUAGAAUCAAAGCAGAAAAUAUAAGUGAAAAAAACACGAAGUGUGUAAAUAUAUAAUCUAAGAAAUAGCGGCAUCGUGGAACGAGUGUCUCUGCUAGUGACGAGUGCGUUUGAAGACGAGCAAAAAGUUUUGUGUUAUGUAUUUGUGAUAGCGGCCGAUCACAAAGGCAACGUGAUUUGUGAAUUAUUUGCAUAGUGCGAUAUCAAAGGCGUGUUGCCGACGAUAUUACAACAUACAAAUUAAGAAUACCCGAAAAAUAAAAGAAAUAACAAAAAAAUAACAAAAAAAUACAACAACAAAAAUAAGAAUAUUUAAAGCACAUUAAAAAGUUAAAUAUCGCUUUUUAGACGUAUUAAGCUCCAUUAGUCGCUCGAAAGCCGCACAACAACAAUAAAUAAGCAAGUGAAAAGUGUGCAUACAUUUGUUGUUGUUUUAUUACAUUAAUACAUAAAAUCACACGUAAAAAUAUGGCCCAUUCAACCGCCGGAAUGGCCGGCCAACGGAAUGCCGCAAAUCAGAAAAAACAACAACAACUCCCACUAUUCACGCUGCUGCAAGUUUGCAUUGCCCUCUUAGUGGCCAGCAGUUGUUUGGCAUUGCCAACGGUGGCUCAGGCGAAGCAUCUCGAUGGUGCUCAUCAUUUUCAUGCACAUCAUGAACUGCAACAACAACAACAGGAGCACCACGCACAUCACAGGCACCGCUUGCAACGCGAUUCGACCAGCAAGAUUUUGAACACACGCGAACAAUGCAACAGCGUGCGGGAUUACUUCGAGACGAUCGACAUUAAGUUGAGCGGCAACUUUGAGGAAAAAGGUAAAAAAUGAAAAUGUAUAGUUAUCUAAAAGUGUUAGAAUAUUACUAACAACUUGUUGCUGUUGCCUUCGAUGGGUAAUCAUAAAAAUACGUGAAUAUGAAACAGAAAAAACUGGUUUUCAAUCAAAGAGAAAUCGUCGAUUUUGUAAGCUAGUAAAAAUUCAAACUAUAUGGAGAGUGUUACAACAACCAUGGCGAAAUUUCCUUUGUAAUGUACUCAAAAUUGUCAGCUAACUCUCCCUACAUACCUUUUUCUAAGCGUCCGCACCAGUUAAAGUAGUCCCUAUUUUCCCAAUCGACGUCACCGCAAUGAGCAGCCCGAUAAGAUCUACGAAUCCUGCGUGUUUUUUAAAUCAUAUUAUAUAUUUGUUGAAAUAUGUGAAAGCUCAAAAAGCCUUGAUGAAAGCUCGUAAUGUUUUGACGAAAGCUCACAUUAUUUUGAUGAACGAUCUCAUAUUUUUAUUGAAAGCUUAUUUGGACAAAACAUUAUUUAAUCCCAUCAUUAAUGCUAAAUCUAGUAUCCUUUUGAGAGUUCAUUAAAGUUUAUUGAUAUGUUUUAAUUCUCUGUUAAGCAUUUCACAGGUGAUUUGGAAACUAUUGCUUAUGAGAUUAUAUUCAUAUAUAACUGGCAAUACUUGAAUAAUAUUGUUCCUAACUAUGGAUCACCGAAUAUAAAUAAUUGUCAGUACGACACAAAAACUGUCCAUGAGAGAACGAUAAAUAAUUUAUUUUCACAGUUUUAUUUAAGCACAUCGAAUCCUGUUCAACUUUGCUUUCAUGUUUGCAGUAACCUGUCAGAGUCUGUUGACAGCUAAUCAAUCGGGCGACAAUUAGAUUGAAAGUUAUUUAUAUAUCGUUUUUGUUUGUACAUAUUUCAUGGCCUUCCUGUGACGUUUCCCAAAAGGCACUAAAUACACGUUUUAAUAUAUUCCAUUUUAAUGGCCCUUUUUCCUUUGAUUUCAUUGAUUUGCUGUCAAAAAGCAUACAGAACAAGUGGAAACUAGUUGUGGCGGUGGAUAUGAAACGCAGAGAGUUGUCACCGUUUUAUGUACUAAAGGAAUAUAAUUUGCUUUCCAGGUUGCAUAAAAGUGUAAAUUUAAAUAAAUUGGGUAGAUAUGUAUAUAUUUUAGGACUUAUAAAAACUUCAGAUUCAUUGUAGAACUUCACUAAUUUCUCCGAAGCAGAUAUAACUAAUACCGAGGAUUAACAACCUGUUACCGAGGUCAUUUAACUAUUUUAUACACAGGACUAUGUGUAUACUUAUGUUUGUACUAGUAUAUGCAAAUGUUUAUGCAACACAACUCAAAUUACCUCAGGUGCAUACUACACUGUUUGAUUUUUAUUGCUGUUACAUACCAUCGGCCAUUGCAAAAGUGCAACGAUGCAAAAAGUCAAAUUUUGAAACUUGAAUGGGCAACGAGCACCAGCAUAUGCAGCACUCUCUGCCACAUACUUAUGCACGUAUAUAUUUACGAUACAAGCGUUACAUGAAACACGAGCUCCUAUGUAUAGCGGAACUGCAUGGAUGAUGGCCAGCGGCUAACACCAGCGUAAACGCUAUCGAAGCCACGGCAGAACGAAAUCAGAACACAUCACUGCGACUCGAUAUCCAUACAAACAUACAUACAACCGCUGAACUACAGUUAAAGUUCAGCUUUUGCCCCUUCAGCUUCAAUUUCGUUUGCAAAGAACAACAGUAACGGUAAUUGUUAUUGAAGAUGAUAGUGUUUUUAUUGUUGUUGUUGCUGGUUUAUGCCACGACAAACUAACUGUUAUUCAAUGCCGACAAAUAAUCGAAUUUUCUAAUUGGUAGGUGUACAAAGUCCCUGACCAGCAAAUGAAGGUAGGAACGGACCAACGAACAGACAGACAACCACACGGAUGGAUGGCCGAGCAAACAUUCGGUUCGGAUGACUACGGUGUAGCACCCGAUAAAUGGCAUAGCUACUGACUGCUAACUGUUGGCUGCUAAUGGCCGAGCAAACAUUCGGUUCGGAUGACUACGGUGUAGCACCCGAUAAAUGGCAUAGCUACUGACUGCUAACUGUUGGCUGCUAAUGUUUCUCUGACUAGAAUUACAACGCCACAAAAUCGUAAAAGUUAAGGGCUUGCUGUAACGGUAAUGCGCGAAGUCUAUCCGCGCUUGUUAGUUGUUCGCUAGGUUUUCACCAGCAAAGGUGGCGGCACUAAAUCAUCGACAACCGACACUGACACACAUGCAUACAACGACGCUCGCCAGUCGAGUCCAGCUUCAGUUUCGUUUCGAGAGCCAACAACAACAAUUGCUUGCACACAAUAGUUCAAUGUUCGCUUCCAUUCGAUCAGCUAUCUUACAUACGAACAUAUCGAUAACAGCAGCAACAACAAUAACAACAAAAUUGGUUGCGAAACUUGCAACAAUAACAACAGUAGUGUACCAUAUUUCCGAACAAUUGCCGUGGGCAUCGAUUGACGGUUGCUUCGGUGACUGACUGUUGGAUGAUUAGAAUGCCUACAGGGGAUUAGCGGUUUUAUAGCGGUUUAUUCGAGCGUUGGAAUGCGCACACACAUCUAAAUGUUGUUGUGGUAGGUGCACUGCUGAAUUGCUGAUGCUAGGGGUUUAAAGUUGCACCAAUUUUCGAGAACUUAAAGCUUCCAAUUUCGUCUGAUAUCUAAGUGAAGUGCCUAGCUUUGGAAUGCAGAAAUAUCUGUUAUACAGAUCAGAUACAAUAGGUUGAUAUCGCUAAAACUAUUAAAUAGUAUUACACCUAAAAUAUUUUGGUGAUGUGUUGCCACUUGUUUAUAUUUAAUUUAUGCAAUUCAAUAAAAAAAGAAUAAUUCAAUAUAACAUUCUAGACAUAAAAAACACGUUUAAUAAACUUUCACAAAAUUUUGCUUUGAAAAAUGUAUAUAUAAUGAACCUUCGAAUAAGUUAUCACAUAAAUUAUUUGAACUUCCUAUUCCUUCAUAAUCGCAAAAAAACUCUUUCACCUAAAUAAACUUGCAAUUUUUCACAAAUUAAACACGAUUAAUAUCAAAGAAUUAUAUUCAAACGCCAUGCAACACAGCCAUAGAUAACGAAAGCUUCAAAUACUAGACAGUAUUCAUUAUAAGGCAAAUAUUUGCACAACAGAUAAUAAAUGGUUUUUUAAAUCAGCAACAAUAACAACUACGCACGAAAAAAUAAUCGCAAAUUAAUUGCAAUUGUUGGCGAAUUAAUGAAAUCGCGUGAUAUUUUAAUUGCGAAUAAUGAAAAGCAUAUCACAAGUGAGGCAUUAACACAACAACAAACAUGCUGCCACAUUGCAUGCCAGGCAACAUAAAUUGUGGUAUUAAUAAAAAAUAAUUGCAAUAUCAGCAGCACAAUUGAAGCAGCCAACAACAAUAACGAUGAUAUCAAGAACGUAAAAUUCACAUGAAAACGAAACGAAACAAUGCGGAAGCGAUCAGAGUGCAACAACAAGAGUGAAAUUGCAGCAUUUACUUGGACGCUGUGGGUGCUUGGGUGCCAAUUGGAGCGCGGAGGUUAUCGGCAUCAUGAUUUCAGCACAUUUUCAUAAUUAACCGAGGACUGCAGGAAAUUAGAAUUUGUGGCAACAGCGCCAAUCCAGCACUCGGCGGCUCAACGAUCACAUUGGCUAGAUGCGAUGACAUUGCAUUCGGGCAAAAAGCGUACUGUGUUGCAAUGUGGAAUGCAAAAAUUCUGCAAACGAAAUCAAAAAUCUCGGAUUAUGAGUAUGUCGAUACAUAUGCAAUGGGCGCAAAAUAAUCGAGGUCAUCAAAAGCGCAUAGAUAGCAAAGCAGCGGGUUAAUGGGAGAGACCCAUGAACAACCGAGAGAACAGAGACAGAGUUUUCAGUGCAGUGGCUUUUAAUUAAUGUUUGGGAAUGGUUGCGCAAGUGAUCGAUAGGAGAGGGGUCCACAAUAUGGUGUAUUAAAUUACUGCUUAAAAAAAAAAAUACUGAAAAUUCAAUCCAUUUAGUAUCCACAAAUAUUCAUUGAUAGGCUUGAGGUUAAAACUGACAGGUUUUCCAAGAGUUUAGGGUGAUAUGAUGCAAUCUAAAGAAUAUAAAUAUUUGCUCAACUUUCCAGAUCAAAAUUAUACUUACUUCUCUAAGAAGUCUUUUUAAAUACAUAACUUUUCCCUACUACAACAUGGCAAAAUACGGGAAAGCGCUCAAUUCUGCCCAAAACACCCUUUAUAAGGCAAUAUGUGAUGAAAAUUAUAAAGAAUGAAACUUUCAAGAGAAACCACAAAUAUAUAAGACAAAUGAUAAUAGAAUCUGAUCUUAAAGAUCAUGUUCUGGAUCAUAUUAGUUGCCGUCUAGUAUUUGAAACUAUUGAACAAACUACCGUUAUGCCGACUAUUGUAAACCUAUAGAAACAUAACAGAAAUGGUAAAAUUACUGAAAUGAAAACAACCAUUAGUUAAAAUCAACUCAAUUUAGACAAAAUUAAUAUAAUUUAAUUUGCAUCCGAAAGAACAUGAAACUCCACAAUUUCUGAAUAAAACCAUACUAAAAUAUUUUAGAACUGUAACUAAUGAUUCUUUCACCUAAAUAACGGUUCCGUUUCAGUAUGCCACAUUUUUGUAUGCAAAUUAGUUGCGCUGGCAACAAAAACAAUUGGUGACGCUCGCUGUCAUGCCACAGUAAAUUUAUGAACGACGCCUUGUCACAGAAAAGAACUAAUGUCGAACAAAGUCGUUGCAAAAUGCAAAUGGUGAUGACAGCAACAACUAAAAAAUCGAAGUGAAAAUAAACCAUAUUGAAUAGCAAAUUAUUCACAGCAGCAAUAACAAAAAGCGAAAGCAAAUAAAUACAUAAAUGUAAAUUUCUCACACCAUGCAACACAAGAGAAAAUUACGAUUUGCGCAACAAAAGACACUUGACCGAUAGUGGAUGGACAGCUGCAUGACAUGCAAUUACCGCACUUUUUCCUCUUCAUGUGGUACGUCAACGCUUUCUUUGCAACGGACCCAAGAACAUAAUUGCUAAGUGGCAAGUUGACUAAAUGACAACAUUGUUGGCACCGCUACGCAAUUUGCAUGCGUUGCAAGCAAGACGCGGCGGCUAACUAAAUGAUGCCGCUGCAGUAAACAACAAAACAACAAGAGUGGUGUGGCAGCAGCAUCAUCAGUUGUAGCUUUUAGUGUAGUUGUAGCUAGCAGUGUUGCUGGCUGCAAAGGCACUUGCUUCUUACAAUUUUCACUUUUCUUGUUGUCUGCAGCUUCGUUUCGUUGCUGUAACUGGCGACAAGCAUAUGCCCAGCAUAUUGUUCUUUUCUACUUGCAAUUGUUGUAAUUGUUUGUGGCAUGUUUUGUAUUGUUUCGUUUGACAGACAACAUUCUUUUUUCCAAGCGCUUUACAUGCCGCUUACAACUAGACAUUCGGUGGCAUGUAAUAUAUUAUAUGUAUGUAUGUUUGUAGAAUGCAAAAGUAAACCGUCUGUGGCUCUGAAAUGCCACCAAAUAACAACAACAACUACUAUGAAACUACUAUGUAAAAUGACAGCAGCACAAAAACAAGUGGCGACAAUUGCAGAGCAGUUGUAAUAUUUGCUGUAUUGCAACAUGACAUUUGCAUCAGCGGUAAGCGUUUGUGCAACAACAUGCUAGCCACAAUACAAUAGUGGUACUCAUUUAACGUUGCAAUGAUAUAAAUAUAGUAAAUUUGCAAUAUGGCAACAAAUGUUAAAUGAGCGCUCUUUGGCAAUAUUGUGGUAAUAUCAGCUUAUUGUGAAUUAAUUGUAAGCAUGCCAUGAAUGCCACUGAAAAAGGUCUCGCAUAUUUGCAAGAUUGUCGUAAAAUGAAAUGCAUGUAAAAAUUAACAACUGUUUUACGAUAUUGUAAUUUUGCGAUGUUGCCAUACGUUUACGACGUUAAAUGAGUACCACUAAUAGUUUCGACAACAGCGGAAUAAAAUACAACUGCUAAGCAGCUCUGGGAAUUACGGAAGCCCGCACAAUAGGAAGUAUUUGUGAUGUCUGGGAAUCGGUCGCCACACUAGUCAUAGGAGUACAGUGUGGUUGUUUUCAGAUAUGAGGGCGAAAUGAGAUAUAUAAAAAACUCAAUAUAAACAUUUUUCAAACAUAUGAAUAUGAAAAUGCACCAUCUUAGGGACUAGUUAUUAUUUCGUUAGUUCAUUAUUUACGAUGCUUAAGGGGAUUCGAUCCCCACAUAAUUCACUUGCAACAUGGGAUUGAGAUGCUUUAAGAAGGUGCACACACACAAUUUACAUAAUAUUUCUUAAGAAUUAAUUUUAUAAAAACGAUUUUGUAUGAAGUAAUCUAAAAAACUUAGCACGCAUUUAGAUUUUCUUUAAACAUUUGCAUCAUGCAACAAAUGCCCCUAAUGACAGUCCGCUGACUCUGUGUGUUUUUGGACCGAGAAAAAAAUAUAUUUACGAACUGUGUUGUCGUUGAUUGGGUGUUGCAUGUUUACAACGAUGUCAAAAGCAUAACGAAAUUCGAAAUAGAGUGUUCAAAGAAUUUUCGAUGUGUAACAUUUGGCACAUGCGGCUAAACAAUGCGCCAUGUUGCACUGAGUCUACAAAAAUCGCAUGUACCAAUUGGUGGCACAUAAUAUGCAUAAACAGAAGUACGUAUAGGUGAAAAUGCAGUUGAAUGUGCAUUGAGUUUUGGCAACAUCAACAACUUACAUAAAAUCUAAUACAUAUGCAUUAGGGUGGUUCUCAAAAAUGUCAAUCGCUGAUUUUUGCAACUCAACUGCUUUAAACCUGAAUAACCAAUACCUAAAUUAUUUAAAUAUCCAAUAUUUAUUGUUUCAACUGGAGCUGAUUAGGGUGGGUCACACAAGAGUUAAAGGGUGUCAAAAAAGCGUUUAAACUAAAAUUAGUUUUUUGCACUUAAAAUUAAAUAGGAAAUUUGCAUUAUUUACAAAUAUAAUAGUCUUCACCUUGUGUGUGUACUAAUUAAAUAUAUUCGCAAAAUUUUAGUAUCACCCUAAUAUGCAUGUCUUUACAGAAGUAUAUGCAUGAGUAUAAAAUUAAUCAAAUCUGCUUAAGUAAACUGAAAAUAUCCAAUACUAAAAUUGCGAUUACCAUGUACAGACAUACGAGUCACUCACUAUCAGCCUCAAUGGACUCAAUCGCGGUCAACUCUACAGCCGCCACAAUGCUGUAUAACUCUAAUAAAAUGCACGUCUGCUUAAAUUGCAAUGUAAAGUGUGCAUAUAACCGUAGAUGGCUUACAAAACAUACACAUACACACUCAGUCGCAGCUCAAGCGGCAACAUUCCAGUCUAUUUGAACUUUUGCCACUACGCCAUUUCUACACUAUUAAUUUUCAUAACAUUUAUGCGCUAAUAAAUCCAUUGCCACUAAAUGUAGAUCAACUGUAAAAACAACAACAAAACUACAUAUUGUUGCAGUUAACUUAUAUAGAAAAGCUUCAACCAAACAUUUAGUUGCAUAUUAAUGUCUUUCACUCAGCGGUCGGUACUUAAAAUAAUAUAAAUGUGCUGCAUCUGAACUGCUGCUCUAACUAUAUGCAAAUGGAUGCAACUGUGUGUUGUCCGCUGUGACAAUAUUUUGAUUAGCUGCCCAAACAGAUCGCCAGUGUGGUGCCUCAUGUCGCGGCGCAGCAACCGAACAUCCACAUGGCUGCCAGUGUUGCCCUCUAUUUGCCUAUGCCUCGUUACAUAUGCAGUUAUUUACAAAUCAAUUUUCGUAUGAUUCAACCAACCAAUAAAAUCAACACCUCACUGCAUUCAAUCCUAAAAAACUUUGGUGUGUGGGUAUGAACAAGAAGAAGCUGUGAGUUAGAGAAUACGAAAUUGUUUCAGCUUUCCAUGAAGUGAAAAAAUAAAACAACAACAACAAAAACUAUCUGAACUUUUAUUAGCGUGAGGAACACCGAAAACUUGCUGCAUCGAAGCAAUAAACAAAAGUAAAAAAAAAAACAAAAAAAAACAAUAAAAGAAACAAAAACAAAAAUGACAACAAAAGUAUUUAAACAAACGAAAGUAGCUCAAUAAUCAAACAAAACACUUUUACAUACAAAAACAACAACAAGAAA